GGGCUCGUAGCUCAGUGGUAGAGCGUUCCGUUCACAUCGGAAAGGUCAGAGGUUCGAUCCUUCUCGAGCCCA
rnacentral:tRNA from 1 species